GCAACUCUAACUAUUUUUGAUUCUUCUCUUUUUUGAAAAAAAAAAACAAAAUAAGCUUUGAAUUAAACCAGUACUAGCUAUGUGCAAUCUACGGCUAGAUGAUCCCAAAUUUGAAAAAUCCAGAAAUAGCUAAAUGCAUAUGCACACCUACUAAGAUUUAACCUUAUACCAUCAGCACAAGUUCAAGCAAACUAAACUGCUAGCCCCAGUUUUGACAUACUUUCUUAAAUAGUUUAACAGUCCGCUAUUUAACAGUCCAAAAAUUCAAUACAUUCCCAGAUUUAAACUAACCAAUCCCAAUACAGUUCAAAUUUUAGUCAGAUUAUACAAAGCCAACACAAAUUAAAGGCAAAACUACACAAGCAUGACUAUCUAAUAUCUACUUUACUAUGAUAACUUGAAUAUGCAAGUUUCAGAAUAUCAUCUCAUUUCAACUUCUCGAUUCAACAAUUACAUCAGCUGCUGUUUCGAAUGUGUACCUUGAAGGGUGAAAUAACAAGAGAGGAGAGGUCAGCAGCAGCAGAUUCACAAUCCAAACGACCCAGAAAGCAGAAUCAAUAAUCUAGAAGCGUUUAAAUCAAACAAAGCUCAUAGAUCAUCUCAAAGCAACACCAAAUUAACCACACAGACUCGAGAAUGAACACAGAACUCCUCUGAAACUUCUAGCAGACAAAACCUCAACUCAAACUAGUUUAAUCAUACCCCUAAAAUUACUUGAAAUCAACUCAAAACACCUCUGAAUACGUUAGAAUCAACUCCAGGAAGUCAUAGAUCACUUCCAAUAGUCAGAAUCACUUAGUUGCAGCUUGAUUAAACCUCAAACCACUCCAGAUGCUGCAAUACUUGAACACAGAACAGAGAAACAGAGAAAUUUGAACUGUUUCUGAUCUCUGAUAAUCAAGGUAACAGUAUUUUGUGGUUUUAUGCUAUAUUAUUUAUUUUUCUACUGGAUUUGUUAAUUUUGUUUCGUUUUCUAUAGAAGUUAAGAUCUGGAAGAAGAUCUGAAGUUCUACUAUUUGAAAUUCAAAAAUAUGGGCUCAGAUUUCUAGUCAUGGUUUUUGGAGGAAUUUUUAAGCUCCAAACUUGUUAGUGAAGGCAUGGGAAUGCCAUUUUAUAGUCAAAGUGAAGGGCAGCCCUUAAAUUUCUGUUUUCCUUUUUUAGUCCCUCUUUAUUUUCACAAUGGUCCCCUACCUAUUGACUUGUAUCUCAAAUUACACCCUCUAUUUCCUGACUUUCCAAC
rnacentral:lncRNA from 1 species